rnacentral:rRNA from 1 species
AUUAGUUAGUUGGUGUGGUAACGGCACACCAAGGCUACGAUCAGUAACUGGUCUGAGAGGAUGAUCAGUCACACUGGAACUGAGACACGGUCCAGACUCCUACGGGAGGCAGCAGUGAGGAAUAUUGGGCAAUGCUCGAAAGAGUGACCCAGCAACGCCGCGUGGAGGAUGAAGGUAUUCUAUAUCGUAAACUCCUGUGAGAGCAGACGAAAGACGGAUUAUUAAUCUGGAUGACUGUAUGCUCAGAGGAAGCCCCGGCUAACUACGUG